CUCAGUAGGAGCAGAGAGAAGAGAUGAAGGGGGCGCGUGUGGGCGGCUGGCCGACGGGGAAAUCAUCGCGUCUCUACCGCGUCUACGAACUGCAGGGCAGGCAUGUCUUCAUGGUGCUUGCGGAGGGGCAGGGCCCAUGAGGAAAAGUGGUGGUUGGGGAGGAGGACGCCCUUGUCCUUGGUGUCCGGGCCGCCAUGGCUGACGCCGGAGCCGUUGGUUGGCCUUGAGGUCAUCCGUCGUUGGCGUCCUCGUCAUCCAUCCAACCACCAGGGAGGAGAUCCCUGAGGCAUUUGAUUCUUGUGGGAUCCCCACACAUCUUGCAAGAUCAACAACAAGUGGCUGGGCCUCUACAUUAUUCAGAAAAGCUAUUUUUAUCUUUCAUUUAUUUGUCUAAUUUAUGUGCCCGUGUAUUCGCCUCCGUUCCGCUCUUGUUGAAGUUCCAACGAAUUUCUGUGCUACCUAAGAGGUACUAAUGCUCAUAUAUUACAAUUUGGUACCCACAACCUUCAGUCACGGGAUCUUGAGAAAAGCAGUUUAGGCAUUUUGUUUGUGUCAACUAUACAGAAUCCCUGCGGUUCGAUUUUUGGUUUGUAGGCAACCAACACAAUAUGCAGGCAAACAGAGAUGUGGUUUUGCUGUAGUAGGCAAAUAUUCAUUGUCCAUUUUAUGUGUUUGUAGGCAACUGAAGUACUCAACCUGUAUAUAUCCAUUAAUUCGUGUAUAAGCCAAUCUUUUUUGGCAUAUCCAUUGCAUGAUCUACCUAUGUAUGUUUGUAAUUUUGCCUUACUAAGCUGCUAUGCAUAUACUCAGUUUGUCUUUACUAAGCUGCUAUACAUACACUCAAUCUUGUGGUGACUCCAGCUUUGAGCUUGCAACUGAACCUUAAGACUACUAAUUACUUUUGUGGAUGGUUAAACCUGAAAUCUGAAACAAAAUCUGGUAGCAGUCUUGCCCCCCUCAGCAAAAAAAUAUGCAUUGAGGUCAGCUAUCUUCAACGUCCCUUUUUUCGUUUCAGUGAUACAUGACCAUAGCGUGACAUGAAGUUCUAUCUUUGAUCCUUGCCAUGCUACUGCUUUGUUGAACCAUCUCAAGGCGUAUGGACCUGGUUCUUUUUAAGCACAAUUUUCUUUUAUUGUCUUUACAUGUUCAUUUAAUUCGUUUAUGUUUCC